rnacentral:snoRNA from 1 species
AUGCUUUGCUAAUUACAUAUUUUUGUGUAUCACACUUUUUAUAGUGUGAUAUUUUAGUAAGUGAAGCUAUAAUAAAGUUCCCCUCGCUAUCCUUUGCAUCUAAUUUUUUGUGGUGUAUUUGGACGUUGGGGUACUACAUGA